UCCAGGGUGGCCGAGUGGUGAUGGCAUCAGAACUGAGUUGCUUGCUGACGUCUGUUACACGGCUUGAAAAAGAGAAAACUACAUCGAAGAAGCUAGGUUGCGAGGGAUAGUGGGCUAGGCUCAGGGUUUCAUUAUCUCAAUCAAGGUUUCAGGAGGAAGGUAAGGGUUCUUAAAUAGCUAACGGAGGUUUGUUCGUGUUUCAGGCAUCAACGAGUGCUAGGAAUCUGACUCACGAAAUGUGAUCGCGGGUUCGAAUCCCGCCCCUGGCA